AACCAACGCUGGCGGCGUGCCUCAGACAUGCAAGUCGAACGCGAAAGUCCCCUUCGGGGGACAAGUAGAGUGGCGCACGGGUGAGUAACACGUAGGUAAUCUACCUUCGGAUGGGGAAUAACAACCGGAAACGGUUGCUAAUACCGCAUAAUGCAGCGGCACCUAAUGGUGACAGUUGUUAAAGCGGGGGAUUGAAAGACCUCGCGUCUGAAGAGGAGCCUGCGGCGGAUUAGCUAGUUGGAAGGUAACGGCUUACCAAGGCGACGAUCCGUAACCGGCCUGAGAGGGCGGUCGGGUCACACUGACACUGACAUACGGGUCAGACUCCUACGGGAGGGCAGCAGUCGGGGAAUUUUUGGGCAAUGGGCGAAAGCCUGACCCAGCAACGCCGCGUGAAGGAUGAAAUCCCUCGGGAUGUAAACUCGCAAGGAACGGGAAGAAUAAGCGAGAGUAAAUACCUUUCGCGAUGACGGUUACCGUUUGUAAGCUCGGCUAACUCCGUGCCAGCAGCCGC
rnacentral:rRNA from 1 species